CGGAGUGGCAGACGGGUGAGUAACACGUGGGAACGUACCCUUUGGUUCGGAACAACACAGGGAAACUUGUGCUAAUACCGGAUAAGCCCUUACGGGGAAAGAUUUAUCGCCGAAGGAUCGGCCCGCGUCUGAUUAGCUAGUUGGUGGGGUAACGGCCCACCAAGGCUACGAUCAGUAGCUGGUCUGAGAGGAUGAUCAGCCACACUGGGACUGAGACACGGCCCAGACUCCUACGGGAGGCAGCAGUUAGGAAUCUUGGACAAUGGGCGCAAGCCUGAUCCAGCCAUGCCGCGUGAGUGAUGAAGGCCUUAGGGUUGUAAAGCUCUUUCAGCGGGGAAGAUAAUGACGGUACCCGCAGAAGAAGCCCCGGCUAACUUCGUGCCAGCAGCCGCGGUAAUACGAAGGGGGCUAGCGUUGCUCGGAAUCACUGGGCGUAAAGCGCACGUAGGCGGGUUCUUAAGUCAGGGGUGAAAUCCUGGAGCUCAACUCCAGAACUGCCUUUGAUACUGGGAAUCUCGAGUCCGGGAGAGGUGAGUGGAACUGCGAGUGUAGAGGUGAAAUUCGUAGAUAUUCGCGAGAACACCAGUGGC
rnacentral:rRNA from 1 species